rnacentral:rRNA from 1 species
GACGAACGCUGGCGGCGUGCCUAAUACAUGCAAGUGGGACGCAAGGGAACACACUGUGCUUGCACACCGUGUUUUCUUGAGUCGCGAACGGGUGAGUAACGCGUAGGUAACCUGCCUAUUAGCGGGGGAUAACUAUUGGAAACGAUAGCUAAUACCGCAUAAUAUUAAUUAUUGCAUGAUAAUUGAUUGAAAGAUGCAAGCGCAUCACUAGUAGAUGGACCUGCGUUGUAUUAGCUAGUUGGUAAGGUAAGAGCUUACCAAGGCGACGAUACAUAGCCGACCUGAGAGGGUGAUCGGCCACACUGGGACUGAGACACGGCCCAGACUCCUACGGGAGGCAGCAGUAGGGAAUCUUCGGCAAUGGACGAAAGUCUGACCGAGCAACGCCGCGUGAGUGAAGAAGGUUUUCGGAUCGAAAGC